AGGAGAACAUAUGCAGCAGGUUAGGAGAACGUACGCAGCAGGUUAGGAGAACAUACGCAGCAGGUUAGGAGAACAUACGCAGCAGGUUAGGAGAACAUACGCAGCAGGUUAGGAGAACAUACGCAGCAGGUUAGGAGAACAUACGCAGCAGGUUAGGAGAAUUAACGUACCAGGUUAGAACUAACGCAGCAGGUUAGGAUAAUUAACAUACCAGCUUAGAAGAAUUAUGCAGCAGGUUAGGAGAAUUUACACACCAGGUUAGGAGAAUUAACGCACCAGGUUAGGAGAAUUAACGUACCAGGCUAGGAGAAUUAACGUACCAUGUUAGGAGAAUU
ensembl:lncRNA